ensembl:snRNA U6 U6 spliceosomal RNA
GGACUACAUCUUUUAAGUUUGCUUUGGCAAAUUGGAAUGAUACAGAGAUUAGCAUAGCCCCUGCACAAGGAUGACAUGCAAAUUUGUGAAGCACUCUAUAUUUUA